rnacentral:rRNA from 1 species
GAGUUUGAUCGUGGCUCAGAUUGAACGCUGGCGGCAUGCCUUACACAUGCAAGUCGAACGGCAGCAUGAUCUAGCUUGCUAGAUUGAUGGCGAGUGGCGAACGGGUGAGUAAUACAUCGGAACGUGCCCUGUAGUGGGGAGUAACUAGUCGAAAGAUUAGCUAAUACCGCCAUACGACCUGAGGGUGAAAGUGGGGGACCGGCAAGGCCUCAUGCUAUAGGAGCGGCCGAUGUCUGAUUAGCUAGUUGGUGGGGUAAAGGCCCACCAAGGCGACGAUCAGUAGCUGGUCUGAGAGGACGAUCAGCCACACUGGGACUGAGACACGGCCCAGACUCCUACGGGAGGCAGCAGUGGGGAAUUUUGGACG